GGAAACAAGAUGCUAAUACCGGAUAACAACAGAUGAUGCCUAUCAACUGUUUUAAAAGGUAAUGGUUCUGCUAUCACUCUUGGAUGGACCUGCGGUGCAUUAGCUAGUUGGUAGGGUAACGGCCUACCAAGGCGAUGAUGCAUAGCCGAGUUGAGAGACUGAUCGGCCACAUUGGGACUGAGACACGGCCCAAACUCCUACGGGAGGCAGCAGUG
rnacentral:rRNA from 1 species